rnacentral:snRNA from 1 species
GUGCUCUCUUUGGCAGCACAUUUACUAAAAUUGGAAUGAUACAGAGAAGAUUAGCAUGGCCCCUGCACAAGGAUGGCACGCAAAUUUGUGAUGCGUUCCAUAUUUUU